CCUGGACUAGGGUUGAGACCAGUUUGGAAAGCUGCCUUUGUUUUUGUCCUUUUGAUUAGUUCGCUGCUCAGCACUGCCACUGGAGGGCAGGCGAAGGAAGGGAGAAGAAAUGAAAGCCACUCACUCGGUCAUUUAUUAUAGACCAUUCAUUCAUUUCAGAAGCCUUAUUUGGAUUGCCCAUCAUGUAUAAUGCAAUCUACUAGGGACUGGAGUAUAUGCAAAGAUGUAGAAGACAGACGUCCCCACUGAAAGUGCUCAGAGCAAGAGAAGAUAUGAUGAAAUGUGAGUUUGAAGCAGAUGGAAAAGUCACCAGGUGUUCUGAUGUACGCAUAAGAACAAGCACGUGGCUCCUCCCUUUCUUGCAGCGUCCACACAGAAUAUUGUAUUGAUGGACAAAAGGAGUAAAAUGUGUUGAUGUACUCCCUGAA